rnacentral:tRNA from 1 species
GAUGUAGAAGUAUAAUGUAUGUUUAAUUUCCAAUUAAAAGGUGAAUUAAUUUUGUUUUA